rnacentral:rRNA from 1 species
CACGUAGGGUGCGAGCGUUGUCCGGAAUUAUUGGGCGUAAAGAGCUCGUAGGCGGUCUGUCACGUCGGCUGUGAAAACCCGAGGCUCAACCUCGGGCCUGCAGUCGAUACGGGCAAACUAGAGUACUGCAGGGGAGACUGGAAUUCCUGGUGUAGCGGUGAAAUGCGCAGAUAUCUGGAGGAACACCGGUGGCGAAGGCGGCAUCCUGGACCAAUAUUGACGCUGAGGAGCGAAAGCCAGGGGAGCAAACGGG